UACAGAGGUCUCGAGCGUUGUUCGGAUUCAUUGGGCGUAGAGGGUGUGUAGGUGGCGCGCUAAGUCGGGUGUGAAAUUUCGGAGCUUAACUCCGAAACUGCAUUCGAUACUGCCGUGCUUGAGGACUGGAGAGGAGACUGGAAUUUACGGUGUAGCGGUGAAAUGCGUAGAUAUCGUAAGGAAGACCAGUGGCGAAGGCGGGUCUCUGGACAGUUCCUGACGCUGAGGCACGAAGGUCAGGGGAGCAAACGGG
rnacentral:rRNA from 1 species